rnacentral:rRNA from 1 species
CAAUAGCGUAUAUUAAAGUUGUUGCAGUUAAAAAGCUAGUAGUUGGAUUUCUGGUGGGAGCGAUCGGUCUGGCGCUUAGCGCGAGUACUUGCAUCGUCUCCGGCCAUCCUUGGGGAGAGUCUGUCUGGCAUUAGGUUGUCGGGCAGAGGAUCCUCAUCGUUUACUGUGAAAAAAUUAGAGUGUUCAAAGCAGGCUUAUGCCGUUGAAUAUAUUAGCAUGGAAUAAUAAGAUAGGACUUUGGUACUAUUUUGUUGGUUUGCGCACCAAAGUAAUGAUUAAUAGGGACAGUUGGGGGUAUUCGUAUUCCGUUGUCAGAGGUGAAAUUCUUGGAUUUACGGAAGACGAACUACUGCGAAAGCAUUUACCAAGGAUGUUUUCAUUAA